rnacentral:rRNA from 1 species
AUUGAACGCUGGCGGCAGGCCUAACACAUGCAAGUCGAGCGGAUGAAGGGAGCUUGCUCCUGGAUUCAGCGGCGGACGGGUGAGUAAUGCCUAGGAAUCUGCCUGGUAGUGGGGGAUAACGUCCGGAAACGGGCGCUAAUACCGCAUACGUCCUGAGGGAGAAAGUGGGGGAUCUUCGGACCUCACGCUAUCAGAUGAGCCUAGGUCGGAUUAGCUAGUUGGUGGGGUAAAGGCCUACCAAGGCGACGAUCCGUAACUGGUCUGAGAGGAUGAUCAGUCACACUGGAACUGAGACACGGUCCAGACUCCUACGGGAGGCAGCAGUGGGGAAUAUUGGACAAUGGGCGAAAGCUUGAUCCAGCCAUGCCGCGUGUGUGAAGAAGGUCUUCGGAUUGUAAAGCACUUUAAGUUGGGAGGAAGGGCAGUAAGUUAAUACCUUGCUGUUUUGACGUUACCAGCAGAAUAAGCACCGGCUAACUUCGUG